UAAACAUAUUACCGAAGCUGUGGAUUGUCCUUUGGACAAUGGUAGGAGAGCGUUCUAAGGGCGUCGAAGCAUGAUCGCAAGGACAUGUGGAGCGCUUAGAAGUGAGAAUGCCGGUGUGAGUAGCGAAAGACGGGUGAGAAUCCCGUCCACCGAUUGACUAAGGUUUCCAGAGGAAGGCUCGUCCGCUCUGGGUUAGUCGGGUCCUAAGCUGAGGCCGACAGGCGUAGGCGAUGGAUAACAGGUUGAUAUUCCUGUACCACCUAGUAUCGUUUUAAUCGAUGGGGGGACGCAGUAGGAUAGGCGAAGCGUGCUGUUGGAGUGCACGUCCAAGCAGUAAGGCUGAGUGUUAGGCAAAUCCGGCACUCAUAAGGCUGAGCUGUGAUGGGGAGAGGAAAUUGUUUCCUCGAGUCGUUGAUUUCACACUGCCGAGAAAAGCCUCUAGAUAGAUAACAGGUGCCCGUACCGCAAACCGACACAGGUAGUCAAGAUGAGAAUUCUAAGGUGAGCGAGCGAACUCUCGUUAAGGAACUCGGCAAAAUGACCCCGUAACUUCGGGAGAAGGGGUGCUCUUUAGGGUUCACGCCCAGAAGAGCCGCAGUGAAUAGGCCCAAGCGACUGUUUAUCAAAAACACAGGUCUCUGCUAAACCGUAAGGUGAUGUAUAGGGGCUGACGCCUGCCCGGUGCUGGAAGGUUAAGAGGAGUGGUUAGCUUCUGCGAAGCUACGAAUCGAAGCCCCAGUAAACGGCGGCCGUAACUAUAACGGUCCUAAGGUAGCGAAAUUCCUUGUCGGGUAAGUUCCGACCCGCACGAAAGGCGUAACGAUUUGGGCACUGUCUCAACGAGAGACUCGGUGAAAUCAUAGUACCUGUGAAGAUGCAGGUUACCCGCGACAGGACGGAAAGACCCCGUGGAGCUUUACUGUAGCCUGAUAUUGAAAUUCGGCACAGCUUGUACAGGAUAGGUAGGAGCCUUUGAAACGUGAGCGCUAGCUUACGUGGAGGCGUUGGUGGGAUACUACCCUAGCUGUGUUGGCUUUCUAACCCGCACCACUUAUCGUGGUGGGAGACAGUGUCAGGCGGGCAGUUUGACUGGGGCGGUCGCCUCCUAAAAGGUAACGGAGGCGCUCAAAGGUUCCCUCAGAAUGGUUGGAAAUCAUUCAUAGAGUGUAAAGGCAUAAGGGAGCUUGACUGCGAGACCUACAAGUCGAGCAGGGUCGAAAGACGGACUUAGUGAUCCGGUGGUUCCGCAUGGAAGGGCCAUCGCUCAACGGAUAAAAGCUACCCCGGGGAUAACAGGCUUAUCUCCCCCAAGAGUUCACAUCGACGGGGAGGUUUGGCACCUCGAUGUCGGCUCAUCGCAUCCUGGGGCUGUAGUCGGUCCCAAGGGUUGGGCUGUUCGCCCAUUAAAGCGGUACGCUAGCUGGGUUCAGAACGUCGUGAGACAGUUCGGUCCCUAUCCGUCGUGGGCGUAGGAAAUUUGAGAGGAGCUGUCCUUAGUACGAGAGGACCGGGAUGGACAUACCUCUGGUGUACCAGUUGUCGUGCCAACGGCAUAGCUGGGUAGCUAUGUAUGGACGGGAUAAGUGCUGAAAGCAUCUAAGCAUGAAGCCCCCCUCAAGAUGAGAUUUCCCAACUUCGGUUAUAAGAUCCCUCGAAGAUGACGAGGUUAAUAGGUUCGAGGUGGAAGCGUGGUGACACGUGGAGCUGACGAAUACUAAUCGAUCGAAGACUUAAUCAAUUUUUAAA
rnacentral:rRNA from 1 species